rnacentral:rRNA from 1 species
UACGAAGGGUGCAAGCGUUACUCGGAAUUACUGGGCGUAAAGCGUGCGUAGGUGGUUCGUUAAGUCUGAUGUGAAAGCCCUGGGCUCAACCUGGGAAUGGCAUUGGAAACUGGCGACCUAGAGUGCGGUAGAGGGCAGUGGAAUUCCCGGUGUAGCAGUGAAAUGCGUAGAGAUCGGGAGGAACAUCUGUGGCGAAGGCGACUGCCUGGACCAGCACUGACACUGAGGCACGAAAGCGUGGGGAGCAAACGGG